GGUGGUCUAGUGGUUAGAGCGUUUGCCUGGGAUGCUGGAAAUCGUAGGUUCGAUCCCCACCAGAGUCA